UACGGAGGGAGCUAGCGUUGUUCGGAAUUACUGGGCGUAAAGCGCACGUAGGCGGCGAUUCAAGUCAGAGGUGAAAGCCCGGGGCUCAACCCCGGAACUGCCUUUGAAACUAGAUUGCUAGAAUCCUGGAGAGGCGAGUGGAAUUCCGAGUGUAGAGGUGAAAUUCGUAGAUAUUCGGAAGAACACCAGUGGCGAAGGCGACUCGCUGGACAGGUAUUGACGCUGAGGUGCGAAAGCGUGGGGAGCAAAC
rnacentral:rRNA from 2 species